rnacentral:rRNA from 1 species
GAUGAACGCUGGCGGUCUGCUUAACACAUGCAAGUCGAACGAACUCUUCGGAGUGAGUGGCGGACGGGUGAGUAACGCGUGAGAAUCUGCCUGUGGGUCGGGGACAACCACUGGAAACGGUGGCUAAUACCGGAUGAGCCGAAAGGUAAAAGAUUUAUUGCCCACAGAUGAGCUCGCGUCUGAUUAGCUAGUUGGUAAGGUAAAAGCGUACCAAGGCGACGAUCAGUAGCUGGUCUGAGAGGAUGAGCAGCCACACUGGGACUGAGACACGGCCCAGACUCCUACGGGAGGCAGCAGUGGGAAUUUUCCGCAAUGGGCGAAAGCCUGACGGAGCAAGACCGCGUGGGGGAGGAAGGUUUUUGGAUCGUAAAGCUCUUUCGCCAGGGAUGAUAAUGACAGUACCUGGUAAAGAACCCCGG